AAAGCAUAGUAAAUGCUCGCUUCGCAAGAAGAGGAAAGUCCGAGCUGCAAAAGACAAGCAUUCCAUCUAACAGAUGGCUAGAGUGAUCUAAGGGAUAGUGCAACAGAAAGCAAACUACCGCAAAAGAGCGGAAAAGGUGAAACGGCAGGGUAAGAGCCUACCAGCGAUUUUGGUAACAAAGUCGGCUAUGUAAACCCAAUGUGCAGCAAGAAGGGGUGGUUAUCGUCUUUAUUUUAACCCUUCGCUUGAUUUUGUUUGUAAAAACAAAACUAGAUAAAUGAGCAUUCACGACAGAACUCGGCUUAUCGCUAUGCUUUGAUA
rnacentral:RNase_P_RNA from 1 species